AGAAACGAAAAUCCUAAUGCGACAACUAAAUUUCUAGUGGGUUCUACAAUCCCAUCGAUGCUGUGCACCUCACCUAACAGUUAUUGGUAACGCAAACAAACAUCGAUGUGUGGACAACUCUUUGCCCAGAUGCUUCUCUAAGCAUAUUGUAGCAACUUGGUCUCUAAUUUAUGUGGGCUCACCAAUAGUUAUUGCCCACAAUUCUUAGUUAAGUCAGACCCACCGUUCACAAGCAGGUGCAAAGUUAUCAUUAGGUCCCUCACCUAACAGUUAUUGGGCCCAACCCCAUCUUUAUCCUGGAGCAACUCUUUGCUAAUAGAGUGAUUGCAUAUUUUUGAUGUAACUGAACCACUGUGACCAGUCGAGAACAAUCAAUGCUGGUAGCAUGCCUGCACAUCUACAAUGAUGAAAAAUCAUUGG
rnacentral:lncRNA from 1 species